UACGGAGGGGGCUAGCGUUGUUCGGAAUUACUGGGCGUAAAGCGCACGUAGGCGGCUUUGCAAGUUAGAGGUGAAAGCCCGGGGCUCAACUCCGGAAUUGCCUUUAAAACUGCAUCGCUAGAAUUGUGGAGAGGUAAGUGGAAUUCCGAGUGUAGAGGUGAAAUUCGUAGAUAUCGGGAGGAACACCGGUGGCGAAGGCGACCCUCUGGACGGACACUGACGCUGAGACGCGAAAGCGUGGGUAGCAAACAGG
rnacentral:rRNA from 1 species